CUCUCACCUCCUGCAGAAUCUGCCUCUCCUUGUUUGCUUGCACAGAUUGUAUCAUGACACCGAGGUUAUCUGAUGGGUGGUUGUGGCCGCAGCUUCCACAGGUGGAUGCUCUUCACUCUGCGAGCUUUGCAGAAGGAUGAAGCUCUACCCCAAGGACACGCAUCAGCGCAUUGUGGUCUAUCUGCUCUGGGCUUUGCUGAGCAUCUCUCUCCCUACAAGACCUCCCAUCCUCAGCAAAUACCUGCAGAUUCAUAUCUGCAAGGAGGAAUCUGGGCCAUCUAGCCCCAUGGAUGCUUAUCCCAUCGGUGCUGCCAUCAUGUGGAGAUUGUCCUGCCUUAUCAGCUGGGAUGGUAGCUUUGCAAGAAGAAAUUGCAAGCUUCUCUCUUCUGGACUUGGAAAGCCCAGGAGGUGACUUGGCCCCUCCAGCAACAAGCUUCAUUUCCACCACUUUCCUUCAAGCUCCAUGUCUUGCUGCCUCCUGAGGCAUCCACCAAGGAGAAGUAAUCAUGGAAGAAAAGUGACAUUCCAGCUUUAUUACCUGCUUCAAUGGGCCUCUGUCAACCUCCUACGACACUGCUGGAGAAGCAUCUCUAGGGUGAAUUUGAUGAAGAUCUCAGCCUGGCUUGUCUAUCUAAUUGAUCCUGAACGUGCAAUCCUACAGAAAAUAUGGCAUGAUGC